UGGGGAAUUUUGCACAAUGGGGGAAACCCCGAUGCAGCGACGCCGCGUGAUUUAGAAGGCCUUCGGGUUGUAAAAAUCUUUUCUAUGGGAAGAAAAUGACAGUACCAUAGGAAUAAGGACCGGCUAAUUACGUGCCAGCAGCCGCGGUAAUACGUAAGGUCCGAGCGUUGUCCGGAAUCAUUGGGCGUAAAGGGUACGUAGGCGGGUAAGCAAGUUAGAAGUGAAAUCCUAUAGCUCAACUAUAGUAAGCUUUUAAAACUGCUCAUCUUGAGGUAUGGAAGGGAAAGUGGAAUUCCUAGUGUAGCGGUGAAAUGCGCAGAUAUUAGGAGGAAUACCGGUGGCGAAGGCGACUUUCUGGCCAUAACCUGACGCUGAGGUACGAAAGCGUGGGUAGCAAACAGG
rnacentral:rRNA from 1 species